GAUGAACGCUGGCGGCGUGCCUAAUACAUGCAAGUCGAGCGAACAGACGAGGAGCUUGCUCCUCUGACGUUAGCGGCGGACGGGUGAGUAACACGUGGAUAACCUCCUUAUAAGACUGGGAUAACUUCGGGAAACCGGAGCUAAUACCAUAUAAUAUAUUGAACCGCAUGGUUCAAUAGUGAAAGACGGUUUUGCUGUCACUUAUAGAUGGUUCCGCGCCGCUUUAGCUAGUUGGUAAGGUAACGGCUUAGCAAGGCAACGAUGCGUAGCCGAAGUGGGAGACGGAUAGGCCGCAUGGGAAGUGGAACGGGGUCAAGAGUCCUGAGGGAGGGAGCAGUAGGGAAUCGGACGCAGUGGGCGAAAGCCUUGCGGAGCAGCGGCGCGUGAGAGAUGAAGAUGUUCGGAUCGUGAAACUCUGUUAUGAGGGGAGAACAAAUGUGUAAGUAACUAUGCACGUAGUGACGGUACCGAAUCAGAAAGCCACGGCUAACUACGUG
rnacentral:rRNA from 1 species